rnacentral:rRNA from 1 species
AAACCGGAGCUAAUACCGGAUAAUAUAUUGAACCGCAUGGUUCAAUAGUGAAAGACGGUUUUGCUGCCACUUAUAGAUGGAUCCGCGCCGCAUUAGCUAGUUGGUAAGGUAACGGCUUACCAAGGCAACGAUGCGUAGCCGACCUGAGAGGGUGAUCGGCCACACUGGAACUGAGACACGGUCCAG